CGCCCCGGCCGGCUCAGGGCCGCUGAGGGCUGAGGGGUGAGGGCCGCUCAGCCGGCUGGGAAACCUGCGUGGGAGGGACAGCAGAGCUGCGCGCCGGGAGCCGCGCUGGUGGGUACUCCCACUUCUGGUUCCUUAAUGGCCUGCUGGAGAGCCUCCUUCUGCCACCAGGACCCUACUGUUUCCACUAUAGAUGUAACUUUUAAUGCAAAUAAUGAAUAAGCACAGAUGAUGAGGCCAUGCUUAUAUAGCUGACAGAAUCCUCACUGCUACAAGGACCUUCUGAAUUUGGAAUAAACUCACACUACAGAUUUGAUUUGUGGUGAAUCUGAUUCCUGUAUUGGAUGUUCUCUGCUCUGCUGUUUUUAUGAUUCUGAUAUGUCAAAUUCAAUAGAUACCAAAAAUCCACCCUAAUCUGUUUAAACUGCAGAAAAUGAGAACAAACAAUCCUUAAUAUGCCACCUUGGCAUAUGAUAAAAAGUAAUAAGCUGACUUUGAUUGUAACUGUCAUGUUUUUAUCUGUUGAAUACCACUUUAUUUUUAAAAACUGCAUUGAUCUUAUCCUAUGGUAAAUUUAAUAUCAAAUAUCUUAGAGAUCUGCAUAUUUAAAUGGCUUAAGAACAAGAUUAGCAGUAAAAUUGCAUUUCUGUGUUAUUUUUUUUUAAAACUGAUUUCAUGUAUAUCACUGCAGGAAUUAGACCUAACAGGAAAAAAAAUGAAUAAUUAUUGAUACUUCUGCAACUUCUACUAUUCCCAAAAUGUUUUGUUAAAAAAACCAAAACAACAAAACCAUGGGGGAUUCACUUGAUACAUCUACAUCAAACAAAAUGCAACAGCUGUUUAACUAUGCCAUGCAAUAACACAGAGUAGGUUAAUAGGCAGUUACUAUCCACCUGAAAUUGUAGGAACUUUGUCAGCAGGGUGCUGUUACCUAAACUAGAAUUUGACCAGGAUGUGAAAGUUUACUUAUUGUUUUUUACAAAACAAUUAUAUUCUGCUGAUUAAGAUAGAGGACACUUCCACGGAACAGUAUCAUUAAUGGCCUCCAUUCAUUCGUGAAGCCACAGUUGUAAGAACAAAACUGCCCCUGGAUGGAAAAUCUCCAGGUUUCCAAUCCACAAGGUAUCUGCCUUCAGGCAGUUGUUAAGAGGACAGGCACAGUUGCAGAAGAAAUGUCAUUGAUUUUGAACUGGGCUAAAAUAUUCUAUAUUAAGAUGGAAUGAAUAUAAUUCAAGAAUUUGCAGUGACACAUCAGCAUUUUAUGUUCUUGGGCAGCUGAGCUUCUCCAGGGAUAUCUUACUAAGAGCCAAAUCCACAGCAUAAGUGAUAGCAACUGAAGCCAAACAAUUCCAUGUUGGACUUCAUCUUCACUAAGGAAAACUUAGGGUAGAGGCAGAAAGGAAAAGAAGCUUGUUUCAUUUAGUUAGAACAAUACCUCGUUAUAUGUAUUAGAUGGUUAAAAUAAUCUUAUGCUCCUACCUGUUUAUCUUCAUCAAGAUAGCAUGUAAUAACUACAAAAUACCUUGUUCAUAUUAGGAUUUUAUCACUUUAAGGCACUCUAUAUCUCCUAAAGUAAAUAUUUUCCUUAGAGCAAAAGAGAUGCAUUUCCUCAAAUAUAUUAAUUCCCAAGUUUACUUAAUGUACACAUCAUCCUGAGAUGCAGAAAUAAACACUUGGAAACAAACAAUUUAAAAUGUCAUUUGAAAGAAAAGGCAAAAAAAAACCCCUAUCUGUUAUUAUUUUCUUCUAACUAUGUAAUACCAUAAGUAAAAUUUAGUGGAUGUAUUUUUGUAUUUUAUGGGUUUUGUAGUAUCAAGUUAUCAGUCCAUUUACUAAAUUAUCAGUCAAUUUUUACUGUACUAAAUUCUGGGAAAAAAGUAAUUCUUCAGUGAUUCUAAAUAAAAACUAGUACUUUCAUUCUGCUGGAAAUUUCGAGAUGCCUUGUUUGCUCCGAUUCAGAAAUUUUAGAUGUUAAAAUAUUGGACCUUGUUGCCGGAUUUCUAAGUAGAUCUAAUAUUAAGUACAAGCCUGAAUCUUAGGCAAGUUCCAAUCGUUUAUUAAUGUUGCUCUAAUGAAAAAAUGCUUUUACCUGUCAAGACAGACUGUACUCCAUUGCCCAUGCAGUUCAUUUACCAGAAGUUAAUUGCUUGCCAAUCACAAGUGAUUUAAGGACCUGUUUUCUUCACAGUGACUGACCUUCAAUUA